rnacentral:tRNA from 1 species
AUUUAUAUAGUUUAAUAUAAAACAUUACAUUUUCACUGUAAAAAUAAAAAAAUUUUUUUUUUAUAAAUA